rnacentral:rRNA from 1 species
UACGGGGGGGGCAAGCGUUGUUCGGAAUUACUGGGCGUAAAGGGCUCGUAGGCGGCCAACUAAGUCAGACGUGAAAUCCCUCGGCUUAACCGGGGAACUGCGUCUGAUACUGGAUGGCUUGAGUUCGGGAGAGGGAUGCGGAAUUCCAGGUGUAGCGGUGAAAUGCGUAGAUAUCUGGAGGAAUACCGGUGGCGAAGGCGGCAUCCUGGACCGGCAUUGACGCUGAGGAGCGAAAGCCAGGGGAGCAAACGGG